ACCAGCUUUACCAUGCAAAAAUCACAAGCACAGUCUCUUUCUCCCUCUGUCAUGCAUCUCUGUUCGGAGUAACAGUGAAGCUCCUCCCCCCCUGCUCUUCUCUCUCUCUGUCUGGAUCUGUCAGUUUCUGUGCUGUUGUUCGGUGGCAGCGUUUCUCUUCACUGCAGAGGCAGCUUCAUUCUCUCCUCCAGGAUGUCGGGCCUUCUGACCAGCUCUCUUCUGCUCUUCCUCUCCCUGACGCUGUUCCAGAUCCCCACACCAGAGGCAAAGCCUCUCUCUACCAUGCGUGGAGGAGGUCGCAGCUUUGACAGCCAGGCAGGUGGAGUCCGUCUGCGAAGAGACCUGCGUGAUUCGGUGCCCUACGAGGCCCAGAUGAUGUCUUACCCCGCUGCUGACUUCAGGAGUCGGAGCAAUGAUCUGUACUACCAACCAGAGGUCUUGAGAGCUCAAGGUCUUGGACAAGCCCUCCAGCGGCUGGUGGAGAACGAUCAGAGGCGGGAACAGGAAGCAGCUUAUCUGGCAUCAAUGCUGCGUCUCCUGAACGAGGCACAGAAUAACGGACAGGGCAAACCUGAGGAAGAGGAGGGUGAUUUCCAGGGCCCAUACCCUCCGGACUACGAUGAGACCGAGCAGGCUGUGAGCAUGGCGAAGCCCCGGGCCUCAUGGCAGGGCCUUCUGGAUCCUCAGCUUACUCAGGCUCUACUCAACCGCUACAAGCAGGAGAGACUGAUGCAGGCUGGACUCGCUCCGAACACCAACAGGAUACCAGAGAGAGAGCAGGACAAAGACCAAGAGAUGCUCAGGUACCUUGUUGAGAAGAUCCUCUCCAGCUUGGCAUCGGGUGGCAAUCAGGGAGGCCCUUCAAACCAGCGUGCUAAACGGGACCUGAGCAUUGUGGCCAAUAUGGAGCAAUCUGGAGGAUCCGCCCUAAAACGCUCCCGCCGGUCCCUGGACUCCGCCUCUGGCCCCUCCCCCCACGUCGAGGCAUCACUGCUGAGGGUGAAACGGCUCGAUGACGACGUGGACGACGACGGGGUCACAGGGCAGAGCAACAGAACGCCACACGUCGGCCUACAGAGAAUGAAGCGCAUAGAUACUGACCUGCCGCCCCCAAAAAAACACAGCCGCAAACGCACAAACGCAGACUACGACCCCACUCUGAUCGCACAGCACAUCCUGCAGUACCUGCCAGCCUAAAGAGUAUGUGAAAGUGAGAAAGUGAGAAGGGAAAUGUUUGGGGGAAAUAGAGAGAAAUCUAGACAGACAGAGCAAGCAAGAGUUUCACUUGCUUACAGAUACGCCAGCGUUCAUUGUCAUCUGCCUAAAUCUAAUCAAGGCCUGCUUGCCAAGGUACUCUGAUAUGAUGUUACUUUCAAUGUUAUACUAUAAUAAAUCCCACACACAUAACAGCUUAUGGAAUAUGCUUUUUGUUUUUUCUUCUUUCUGGCUACAUUCUACAGAAUGUAAGCCCUUUUCCACCAUGGAACAAAAAAAAUAAAAAGGUAACUGUGACUUUUUUUCUUGCAAUUCCGGGUUUAUAUCUCACAAUUCUGAGGGGUUUUUUUCUCAGAAGUUCGAAUUCUGGAAAAAAUGGUCAGAAUUGCAAGAUAUAAACUCUCAAUUCUGAGUUUAUAUCUCACAAUUCUGACUUUUUUCUCAGAUUUCUGAGUUUACAUCUUGCAAUUCCGACUUCAUAUUUCACAAUUCUGACUCUUUUCUUCAGAAUUGCAAAACUCCUCCUCCUCUUCCUCAGGUUUGUCCGUUAUUCUGUGCCUCGUUCAGGAGACGCAGUAUUGAUGCCAGAUAAAGUUUAUUCCUCACAGUGAGUUCAUAUUUUGCAAUUCUGAGAAAAAAGAUAAAAAAUCGGAAAUU
ensembl:lncRNA